rnacentral:lncRNA from 1 species
AGGAUCUUAAUGAUGAGCAAUGAUCUUUUCUUCAGUGUUUUGGCACGUGCUCUGCAGAGCCCCUGAGGCAAAAAGUAGUGAGUUGAACAACUGUUCAGGAAAGAAAAUAACUUGCCUCAAGAGAUACUAAUUUUACAAAGGCUGCUCCCAUUAGAGGCUGACAAGGACACGGGUGAGCACGGAUUAAAGGAAUGAUGUGUCCCAGAUUGCGUCUUCUCCUCUACCCUGCAUCCAAGGCACCGAUGAGAACUGACUUCAUGGUUCUGAGGACCAAACAAGUCCGGGGAAGAAACAGCAUAUACUUCCAUGUAUACACAAUGGAUCUGACUACCCAAACACACGGGGAAGUUUGAGAUUCUUUUGAUAUUACUUCUGAACACGCAGUACUUCUUUCUUCAGUACAUGGAAAAGAGAUCAACUCCUUGUUUAGUAGUACUGCACAGACGUCUGACACCAUCUGGGAAUGAUCGUAGAAUCUAUGAACUUGGAGAUUGCAUGUUUUUACUCGAUGUGUUUCCUAGAAGAGUCUGAAACUUCACAUGCUGGUCCGUAUGCUACCUCAACCCAUUGUGAAUAAAUUAUUUUUAUAACAGCUAUACA